UCAAGACUAUGUCAUCAGCAAAUAGCAUACACCAAGGCACAUCCCCUUGAAUAUGUCGGGUUAGAGCAUCCAUCACCAAGGCAAACAAGAGAGGGCUCUUGUUGGAGGGAUCCGCCUGGCUCCAAAGCAGAGUUUUUGUUGAAUCAGUUGUAUACUUCGUCCGCAUUAAAAUGGCCAUUUGGAUCGUAGAAUUGGAUGAGUAAACACGGGAAGGUGCUUGGCUCGGCAUUUUAUAUUUGUUUAGUUUAGGGGUGUUCAUUGGGCGGAUUGGGCGGCUUUUUACUUUAACGGUUUGGCUUAACGGUUAUN
rnacentral:lncRNA from 1 species